AGGUGUAGCUACAUUACCUCGGAAAAUCUGAUGAUAUUUUGCGGACUUCUCGUCAUUUGCAUAAAUCCGAAGAUGACUGACUGACACUGGUUGAAACACUGUUGUUCACAAGACCCAAAGGACAAAGGUUGAGAGCUACAAGUUCAUAUCACAUUCUACUCAAGAAGGUGAAGGAUUUGGGGAUCACUAAAACAAGACCGUCGGAUAUAGAAACAAUUUUAUUUUAUGAGAUAAUCUUUCAACUUUAUUUUUACUUACUAUUGUGGAAGAGA